rnacentral:lncRNA from 1 species
AUGUGUGAUGUCAUACUGUUUAUACUGUGUCUAACUCAGGUGAUGUUUAUACUGUAUCUAACUCAGGUGAUGUUUAUACUGUGUCUAACAGGUGAUGUUUAUACUGUGUCUAACUCAGGUGAUGUUUAUACUGUGUCUAACUCAGGUGAUGUUUAUACUGUGUCUAACAGGUGAUGUUUAUACUGUGUCUAACAGGUGAUGUUUAUACUGUGUCUAACUCAGGUGAUGUUUAUACUGUGUCUAACUCAGGUGAUGUUUAUACUGUGUCUAACAGGUGAUGUUUAUACUGUGUCUAACAGGUGAUGUUUAUGCUGUGUCUAACAGGUGGUGUUUAUACUGUGUCUAACAGGUGAUGUUUAUACUGUGUCUAACAGGUGAUGUUUAUACUGUAUCUAACAGGUGAUGUUUAUACUGUAUCUAACAGGUGAUGUUUAUACUGUGUCUAACAGGUGAUGUUUAUACUGUGUCUAACAGGUGAUGUUUAUACUGUGUCUAACAGGUGAUGUUUAUACUGUGUCUAACUCAGGUGAUGUUUAUACUGUGUCUAACAGGUGAUGUUUAUACUGUGUCUAACAGGUGAUGUUUAUACUGUGUCUAACAGGUGAUGUUUAUACUGUGUCUAACAGGUGAUGUUUAUACUGUGUCUAACAGGUGAUGUUUAUACUGUAUCUAACUCAGAUGAUGUUUAUACUGUAUCUAACAGGUGUUUAUACUGUGUCUAACAGGUGAUGUUUAUACUGUGUCUAACAGGUGAUGUUUAUACUGUAUCUAACAGGUGAUGUUUAUACUGUAUCUAACAGGUGAUGUUUAUACUGUGUCUAACUCAAGUGAUGUUUAUACGGUGUCUAACAGGUGAUGUUUAUACUGUAUCUAACUCAGGUGAUGUUUAUACUGUAUCUAACAGGUGAUGUUUAUACUGUGUCUAACUCAGGUGAUGUUUAUUCUGCGAAAACACAAUAAGACAUAAAGAGAGGGAGACGAGGAGCCACUGAGCUGAACAAACUGAUAGCCAAUAGCCGCCCUGUAACGGUAAGGAGCCACUGAGCUGAACGACCUGAUAGCCAAUAGCAGCCCUGUAACGGUAAGGAGCUACUGAGCUGGACGACCUGAUAGCCAAUAGCCGCCCUGUAACGGUAAGGAGCCACUGAGCUGAACAACCUGAUAGCCAAUAGCAGCCCUGUAACGGUAAGGAGCCACUGAGCUGAACAACCUGAUAGCCAAUAGCAGCCCUGUAACGGUAAGGAGCCACUGAGCUGAACAACCUGAUAGCCAAUAGCAGCCCUGUAACGGUAAGGAGCCACUGAGCUGAACAACCUGAUAGCCAAUAGCAGCCCUGUAACGGUAAGGAGCCACUGAGCUGAACAACCUGAUAGCCAAUAGCAGCCCUGUAACGGUAAGGAGCUACUGAGCUGAACAACCUGAUAGCCAAUAGCAGCCCUGUAACGGUAAGAAGGUAAGAAUAGCAAGACAAACAUACAGACAUAUUGUAGAUGUCUGACUCUGGCCACAGAAGGGAGGACUGUCGCUACUGGUAGGAUAGUAUCGUCAUGGAGACAGCAAGUUAUAAGUCCAUAGACUGAUGGGGAGAGAGGGAGACGGGACGCCCCCAGGUGGUGAAGGUAGGCAACAACACCUCCACUACGCUGAUCCUCAACACCGGGGGCCCCACAAGGGUGCAUGCUCACCCCCCCCCCCCUCCCCCCCCUGUACUCUCUGUUCACCCAUGACUGGUUUGAAGACGACACAACAGUAGUAGGCCUGAUUACCAACGACGGCGAGACCGCCUACAGGGAGGAGGUGAGGGCACUGGGAGAGUGGUGCUAGAAAAAUAACCUCUCCCUCAACGUCAACACAAAGAAGGAUCUGACCGUGGAGUACAGGAUGCAACAGAGAGAGCACGCCCCCCGUCCACAUCACAGACAACCUGAUAUGGUCCAGCCACGCAGACAGUGUGGCAAAGAAGUCGCAACAGAGCCU